rnacentral:tRNA from 1 species
AUAGAUCGUAGCCUAAAGGUAAAGCAUUUUAUUUACAAUAAAUUAGUUUCUGUUCAAUUCAGAUCGUUCUAA